CCGCGGCACCAAGGGAGAGGGGGCGGUGCCAGCGGCGGGCGGAGGCGGCUCAGAGACACUCCGCGCAGAGACUCGGAGGAGGCGGAGAGGGGAGAGCGGCACCAAUACCGGGAAUAUACCGGAUAGACCGCGGCCACAGCGCCAGAAAAACGCAUACACACAGGGGGGAGGCGGUGCAAGCACGGACAGAGAGCCCGGCGUAUCGCAGCGAGGCUGGCCGAAGUCACCUGGGAGAUACCUGGAGACGGAAGCGAGGACGCAGCCAGGGGGAACCGGAGCACGCCGGGGUGUCACAGCCGAACCACCAACGCCUGGAGAGUCCAAAGGGCACCGGUGACUGCCUCCCAUCUCUCUCCCCGGGGAACGACCGCUUUCCAAGGGCCCCGGGGCUGCACGGCCCCGUGAUGAUGUGACCAUGCUGAGCGUGCCCGGACCUGGAGAAGCUAUGAGCGGCCGAGAGCAGCCGGAGCCGGCAGGGAGCGAUGUCAGUGAUGCUGGCCUUAUUCCUCCGACCCUGGAAAAUGGAGACACAUCUGCUGAGAAACACCCUCCACACCCAAAGGAGGCCGAGAGGGGCCGCAGAGUGACCCUGGUGUGCAGACACCCCCGUUCAAGAGACCACAAGUACAGCGGGAGAAGUGAAAGACAAGAAAAUUCUACAGCUGCUCUCCUUGAACACCAAGGUGAAGACGCUAAAUCCCAGCACUCUUGGGGUCGUUCAAGCAAAUCCUUCUGCCGUUCAUCAGUUGGAACCCCCAAACUAGGUGUUGAUGGAAUAAUUACCCUACUGAAAAGCAAAUGUGGCAAUGGUCGUGUAAAUCUUCAACCUGUUGUACGUUUGAUGGAUAUCAUGAAGGACCUUAGCCAGCUGUCCAAUGACCUACAAUCUAGCGGUGUCCGUCUCGAUUAUACCCAUGUUGUUAGUCCUCCAUCAGAGCCUGAGGAUGUAGAGCCAGGAUUACAAUACAGCUUCUUUUCUUCUAAGAGCCUUGCUUGUGGACUGCGGAGCCCUGAAGACAAACCUUCAGAGACAGUGGACAAGGAGCCAGAUUCUGUUUCACCUAACCCAGACUCCAUUGAAUCGGCUAGUUCAAAUGUCCUUCGAGAGUUAGCUGCCCUUGCUUGGAUGGAACCACAGCCAGUGGAAGUUGUACAGGAGAGGGAACAGGAAGAAAUGUGUAGCAAUAAGGUGGAGGUUAUGGCAAAUGCAGAAGACUGCAAUGAAAAUAAAGAGGAGUCAUCAGGUGAUGAACAGGGAGAUAGUAAGCAUGAAACAGAGGAAUCUGGGGAAGAACAGGAAGAAAAUAAACAGGAAGAAGAAUCUGGUGAGGAACAGGAGGAGAGUAAGCAGGAACCUGAUUUUCAGGAAGAGAAUAAAGAGGGAGAGGAGUCAUCAGGGGAGGAGCAAGAGGAAAAUAAACGGGAAGAUGAUUCAGGGGAAGAUCAGGAGGAAAUUAAACAGGAAGAAGAGUCCUCAGAUGAGGAACAUGAAGAUGAAUCAGUUAAAAUUACAGAGGAAUACCAGGAAGAUGUAAAACCUGAAGUAGAGCAGGGUAACAGAGUAAGCCAGGAGAUACAUUUAGAUAUUAAAGAGGAUGAGAGAGGAAGAGAUGUGGAUGUCAAAGACUCAUUAGAUGACAAAAUUGGGUUAGAAGAGUGCAGAAAAAGGGUGGAAAAAUAUAAAAGAAGGGAAGUUAUGGUAGAGCCACCAAUAGAAGAAAUGCCUUGGAUGCUACCCCUCUUUUCCCCAACAUCAGAAACUCUCAGGCGAACGCCGUUUUCCAGCCGUGGGGGCCACAGGUUUGGUCUUAGAGGCCGCAGGGGUGAUAGACCUGGAAGAGGUCGUCGGAGAAGACCGGGUCGACCACGAUCAUCUGAGAGCAGUCUGUCUCGUGCAUUUGUUAUGCCUACCUACCAUCGAACACCAGAUGAGCCCAGGGCUUACAGGCCCCAUGUUGAAAACACACUAUUUCCACUUCCAACUCUUAAUCAGAAGCCUCCUGCAGUAGAAGCUAAUGAGGAACAAGGCCCUCCACCAAAACCAAAACGCAAAGGUAUACGCAAGAUGGUGGUUCGGAUUGCCAAAAUACCAAUGCCAAUGGGAAGGCGAAACAAAACCAGCUAUAAAGUGUCUUCAUUCAGUAGCACUCUAAGUGUUGAAGGCGGAGAACUGAUUGGUGGUACAGGCCCAGGUCCCACCUCUCUUCUAAAAAUGAAAAACAAUGGACGCAAUGUUGUAAUGGUGUUUCCACCAGGUGAGCUUCCGAUUAUCCUUAAGAGGCGGCGAGGCCGGCCACCCAAAAACCUGGUUCUGGCUAGAGAAACGCCACCUCUAUUGCCUCAACCUCCUCCUGUUGAAUCCACAUUGCCACCUCCACCAACUCCCCAGCCUACUCCACCCAUCGCAGAAGGAGAAUUUGUGAAGAAAAGGAGACGGAGAAAGCAAAAAUUGGCGUCUCCGCAGCCUUCCUAUGUAGCAGACACUAAUGACAGCAAGUCUGAAUAUAGUGAUGUACUGGCAAAGCUUGCAUUUCUAAACCGUCAAAGUCAGGGGGCAGGACGCACUUCUCCACCUCGUUGCUGGACACCAACACUGCCAGAGUCUGUACACCAGGCCCCUGAAACUAAUAAUAUAUCCCAAUACUUGCACAGAGUCCAGGGAUACCGGAGAAGAGGAGGGCGUGGAGGAGGCCCAGGUCGUAGAGGAGGAUGCAAUAGUCACAAUGCAGAGCUGUCCCGCUGUUCGUUCAGUGAAUUCUUUGAAGGAAUUGGAAAGAAAAAGACAAAGCCAAGACCUGUUGACCCUUUAAAGCCACGCAAGCGAAGACAGCCAAAGGCUGAACCAGACCCCAAUGCUAAACCCAAACGCAAGAGAAGGUCUAGAAAAAAUGGUGCGCUUCUUGGUGACAUUGGAGGCGAAGCUGGCUUAGGAUACCAAGGCAUGUCUGAAUGGGGUAGUGGGAGUAAAGGUGGGCCAUGGAUGACACAGCUUUCGAGCAGUCAAACAAGUGGCCGACAUUGUAAUUACCAAGGACCGGAGCACAGAAGCUUUUCUGCCUUGCACAGUGGAUCACCAUCUCGUCCAGGUUACUAUAGUGGAACUGGAUCAGUGUCUCAGUCAGAGAGUGGAGGGCAGGAUCACCAUGGGCUGUUUACAGGCUACUUCCGGUCUCUUUUAGACUCUGAUGACUCUUCAGACCUUGUGGAUUUUUCUUCUGUUGCACAGAGACAAGAAGCAAGAAAAUCUGCAUCUACCUUUUCUGGAUCAUCUGCAUCCCCAAACCCAAGGGCUCUCCAGUCCUACUCCAGUUCCCGAGGUGCAAAAUCUAGCACACAAGAAUCACCAUACCAAAGUUCAACAGCUGCCAGGCAACCAUUCCCUCCAAACAGGGGAAAUGCAAAUUAUGUAUCAAUUGCUCAACAAGAAUGCCGUGGAACUGAUGCCUUUCAGAAGCUUUUGUCACGUUCUCCCACGUCCCAAAAUACUGGUGGCUUUGGGCAGUUUGGUGGUUUUUCUGGAUCAAGUACGCAGAACUUGCCUGGCCAUGGAAUAUUUGCACCAAACAAGCAGUAUCCAGCUCCCCCUGACUGUUUAGGUAACAAGGACUGCAGCUUUUCAUUCAGUGGUGGUGGUAAUAGUCUCCCUUCAUCACCAAGCAGUGCCCACAGUAGCGCUAGCUUCAGCCAGCAACUACAGCUGCCAGCAGUAGGGUCGGGUACUAACAUGUCUAAAAAUCCCUUUUUCAACACAACAGAGUUGCCACCUUUCCCACCACUUAGGAGUGAAAGCCGAUCAGGCACAUCUUCACCAGCUGGAUACAUGAUGCCCAAAGUUUCUGGUCCAAUGUUUCCUGGCGAAAACAGUCGCUCCUUCCCAGGAUCUGUAGGAACAGGACAGUGGGGAUUUCGGCAAGGUUAUGGUCAAUCAGAUUGGGGAUCUGAGAGCUUUGGUCAACUUUAUGGCCCUGGGUUUGAUUGCCACAUGACUGAACCCAAUGUUAUUUUGGAUAUCAGCAACUAUACACCACAAAAGGCCAAACAAAACACUGACAACAUGUCAGAGUCAUCUUCUGACAGCACACAGUACACGCAACCUGGUGCUGGCUAUCGCAGGGCCAACAGUGAAGCUUCAUCUAGUGAAGGUCAGUCAAGUCUCUCUAGCCUUGAAAAAUUAAUGAUGGACUGGAAUGAUACUUCAUCUGCACCAGGGUACAGUUGGAACCAGACUGUCCUCUUUCAUCAAACAGCUAAACCUGGCAGAGGCCGCAGAAAGAAAGCAGAUAUAUUUGAACCAUCGCAUCAACACCACCACCAUCUAGGAUUUUCAUCGUCCUCUCCAUCUUCCUCUUCAUCGUCUGCUGCCGCUCCUCCAGCAGGAUUUCCUUCUAAAAGAGGUGGGGGCCCCAGGGGCCCAAGGGGUGGUAGAGGUGGGAGCUGUGCAGCCAGCAAGAAAGAGAGAGGGUCAGGCAAGGCCAAGUUUUCCCCCAAACCACCUGCUCCACCACCAUCCUCCACAGUCAGUUCCCUCUUUCAGGACACAUCAGAUUUAGGACUAGACUGCUAUAGUGGGGAUAGCAGCAUGUCACCUCUGCCCUCCCACUCGCGGGCGUAUGGGGUGGGUGAGAGGGAGCCUCCUUGUGAUUUCUCUGGACCCUAUUCCAUGAACCCAUCUACCCCUUCUGAUGGCACAUUUGGCUUCCAGAGUGACUCUCCAGGGCUGGGCCCUCCCUCCACGGACCUUGAUCCUGGUAAACACUUCUCCCAUCUCACUACAGUGGGCAACACCAACCCUGGUGCACCUCAUCCUCCACCACCACCUGGUCUUGGUUAUGAUCACCCGCUACAGGACUCUCCCUUCUCCCCCAACUGCUCCCCUACUCUAGAGUUACGGCCAGGGGAGGGCAGAAAGCUUGUGCCCCCUCCCCACUCAUCUUGUGAUCCCCUGAAACACAGCCUGCCUCCCCACUUGCCCUCUUGUAGGGAGCAGCUGCCUUCCCAACCCUCAACGCACCAUCGCUAUGACCCACCAAGCUGCAAGAACGCCGGCUACUGGUACCCACCCCGCAGCCCCCCUUAUGAUGGUAAGGGUGGGUUACUCUCAGACUUUAUGGGCAGGCGGGGAGAAGGAGUGUCCUGCCUGAGUCCCCACAUCCCAAGCCCCAAAAGAGACAAAGAGACACUGGACAUUGUAAGGGGGCAUCAUAGAGCCUCAUAUCCCUGCCCCUUGCUUAAUGAUAUUACCCAUUCCCCUGUGCAGAGAGACUCUAUGGUGCAGCUCCAGGAUACCUAUCGUUACCCAGCCUUUCCCCCCCAGGGUCCCCCAGUCCUGUCGCCCCCAAACCUGAAGGGUGGUUUCUUGGGACCCGAGAACAUCCCAGAGGACAACUUCACAGUCACCUCCCUCUAGGGGGAGUGGCAUAUCCAGAGUCAUCAGGAGCAGCAGAGUCAAAGGGGUGAGCUGAGACCCUUCCCCUGAAGCCAGAAGAAACGCCAUGGGAUCCCCUUCUGAGCCUGCACCAGCUACAUCACAAGUGCGCUCCCUCUCUCCUCCCUGAGCUCUGGAACCUCCUCCCCUCCAGUUCCUCCCCUAAGAAGAAAUUUGUGUUUCGUUAUUUUUUUUUUUUGUUUGUUUUAUUUUCUCUUCACAAAACCAGCAAAAAUUGUACAUAAGAAUUUUUUUUAAAUGUUUUAAAAUGUAAAAAAAAAAUUAUGCAGAGAUGGUCAGUAUGUGAGGGGGGGAGGUAGGGAAUACGGUAGGGUGGAAAGUUUGAUGUUAUUCCCAUGUGAGCCGAGUGGUCUGAAAUUCCUUGGCACCUCUGUCAAGAGGAAAGGGUAAAACAAUUCCUUUCCCUCACAUACACCCCCAAUCCUGCACCGACACCCUUUGUCCCCCCUCUACCGGCUGCACUGAACUUGCGUAUGUUAAAGCCCUACCACCACCCUCGGCGAUUAAAACUAUUUAUUGUAAAUAAGGAUUUCUCAUAAAUUGUGUAUUGUCCAAAAA